GACGAACGCUGGCGGCGCGCCUAAUGCAUGCAAGUCGAGCGACGCACACCGGAGGGGUAACCCACCGGUAUGACGGAGCGGCGAACGGGUGAGUAACACGUGAGCAACCUGCCCCACAGACCGGGAUAGCCCAGGGAAACUUGGAUUAAUACCGGAUAUCCUCGAGGAACCACAUGGCUCUUUGAGGAAAUGCCUUUGUGCUGUGGGAUGGGCUCGCGGCUUAUCAGCUAGUUGGUGGGGUAACGGCCUACCAAGGCAUCGACGAGUAGCUGGUCUGAGAGGACGAUCAGCCACACUGGGACUGAGACACGGCCCAGACUCCUACGGGAGGCAGCAGCAGGGAAUCUUGCGCAAUGGGCGAAAGCCUGACGCAGCGACGCCGCGUGGGGGAUGAAGGCCUUCGGGUUGUAAACCCCUUUCAGGAGGGACGAAAUUGACGGUACCUCCAAAAGAAGCCCCGGCCAACUACGUGCCAGCAGCCGCGGUAAUACGUAGGGGGCGAGCGUUGUCCGGAAUCAUUGGGCGUAAAGAGCUCGUAGGCGGUUCAGCAAGUCGUUUGUGAAAGUCCGAGGCUCAACCUCGGAAUUGCAGUCGAAACUGCUGUGACUCGAGUCCGGUAGAGGAGAAUGGAAUUCCCGGUGUAGCGGUGAAAUGCGCAGAUAUCGGGAGGAACACCAGUAGCGAAGGCGGUUCUCUGGGCCGGUACUGACGCUGAGGAGCGAAAGCGUGGGGAGCAAA
rnacentral:rRNA from 1 species